GCCUUCAUAGUCUAGUGGUAAAACACGCCCUUGGUAAGGGCGAAUCCCGUGUCCGAUUCACGGUGAAGGCACCA
rnacentral:tRNA from 1 species